AAUCUUUCUCGCUUUGAACUUUUCUCAUACAUUUGGGCUUCAUGGGCAGCUCUCAGUUCUCAAGUGAUUUAUUCUGAGCUAAAAGCUUUCCAGUACUAUUAAUGGUAGCUAUGGAUAUGGCGCACUCGCUUCUGCCUUCUGAUUCAUCUCUGUACCCGCUUCUCCUUCGAGCCCCGAAUUAUUCUUCAUUUAAAACUUUCAAAUUUGGUACUUAUUGUUCUUCUGGUCGUUCAAUUCAAGUGUAUGCCGCUAAAACCAAGAGAAAGCCCAGGCCUAGCUUCUCUGAACAAAUUCGUGAUAAAUGGUCUGUCAGAGUCCCUUCAACAAGAGAGAAAUUUCCAUGGGAAGAACAAAAACAGCAGCAACUGCAAGAACAAGACGAAGAGGAAGAAAUAGAAGCCUCUGGGGCGUUUUUCUCUGAAGCAGAAAUUGAUGCUAGCCCAUCAGUGAGCGAUGAUUCAGUGAGUUUUACUCUACCCAAUCGUUUAAUUACAGCUCCUUGGAUUCAUGGAUCAACACCCCAAAGGACCCACUUCUAUUCUCACCAUAAAAAUGGUGAAAAUGUUAAUGGGAUUUUCUACCAUCUCGAAGAAACUGCUGUAUAUGCUGUUGUUGAUAAAGCAAAAAGUUUGGAGACGGAAGCUAAUUACAAUAAAAUAUGCAAGGAAGGUGAUGAUGUAUUACACGUUGAUGACACAGAAAGCUUUGAAGAAGAAGCAAAUUAUAAUGACAAAUGUAAAGAAGAAACAGUUAUACUUGGUGCUGUUUCAGUUGAGUUACCAAGGGAUAAGGAAAUAGCAAGAGCUGAGGACUCAAACGAUGCUAUUUCUCAAAAUGAGAAACCUACCGGGGCCAAUCGAGAGAAUGGAAAUAUUCAGCUUUCUCGUGAUGAUAAUAGCAGUUCAAUUGAAUUGCCGUGGGAGAGAAAGAGGGAAGUGGAGUCCUUGGACGGAGAUUGGAGAAGGAAGAGGAGCAACACUGAUUUGGCGGAGAGAAUCUUGCCUGAACAUGAGUUGAAGAGGCUGAGGAAUGUUGCGUUGAGGAUGUUUGAGAGGAUUAAAGUUGGGGCUGCAGGCAUUACCCAGGAUUUGGUGGAUGCAGUUCAUGCGAAGUGGAGGCUGGAUGAGGUGGUGAAGUUGAAGUUCGAAGGGCCUCUUUCAUGUAACAUGAAAAGGACACAUGAGAUUUUGGAGACUAGAACUGGAGGUCUGGUUAUAUGGAGAUCAGGUAGCUCGGUGGUGUUGUACAGAGGAAUGGCCUACAAAUUUCAAUGUGUUCAAUCAUAUUCUAAACAAAAUGAGUCUGAGAAGGAUAUUUUAUCCCAUUCAGAAGAAGUGACGAGUAAUGCUGCAUGUAGUGUAGGAGUAAAGGACUUCACUGGAACUAGAGAGUCAGUUAUGCCUGAUUAUGCGAAGUAUUUGAAGCAUCUAUCUCAAGACGAACUCAUGGAUUUUAGUGAACUAGAUCAGUUGUUGGAUGAGCUGGGUCCAAGGUUUAAAGAUUGGUGCGGCCGUGAGCCAUUGCCUGUUGAUGCAGAUUUGCUUCCUGCAGUGGAUCCUGAAUAUAAACCUCCAUUUAGACUUCUUCCCUAUGGGGUACGACAUUAUUUGACAAACAAGGAGAUGACAGUUUUCCGUAGGCUUGCAAGAACAGUGCCUCCUCAUUUUGCACUAGGAAGGAACAGAGAAUUGCAAGGUCUUGCUAAAGCUAUAGUGAAGCUGUGGAAAAGAAGUGCUAUUGCAAAGAUAGCCAUAAAACGAGGUGUGCAGAAUACACGUAACGAAAGAAUGGCAGAAGAACUUAAGGUGAGACACAACAAAAGGUAGUGAUAAGUGAUUGCAGAGUCUAUUUUUGGGUUUUACCAUGUUUGAGAAUGAAGGGAGGAAACAGAUCUAUGUAGUCUAUCUCAACUAGUUAGGUAAGACACUUGACUUGAGUUGUCUAUUGUGCUUGAGAAUACGAAACUGGAGUUUAACAGAAUAUGGAGCAAAUUUAUGCAUGUUUUUUUAACUUGGUUUCCUACUUUGCAUGUAAAAAAUCAGUUAUCUGGAUCUCUUUUAUUUGCUAUAAACUACUGGUGUUUCUUUUUCAAAAGAAAACUGUUAUUACAGAGUCGUGGGCAUCCUAUUUUUCUUAAGUUCCACAUGCAGCCUUGCACACUGAGACAGUCAGGCCAGUGCCCCAUUGUAACCAUUGCCACAAAACUUCUAGCUGUCUGAUCACAAAAUUUCUUCUUCUCCUUCUUCAUUAAUUUUUUUCCUUGAUAAUAACAGUUGUACCUCUUGCACCCAGAUAUUGACAGGAGGAAUACUACUUUCUAGAAACAAGGAGUACAUUGUAUUUUAUAGGGGAAAUGACUUCUUGCCACCUGCUAUUAUGGAGACACUGAAAGAGAGGCGGAAACUAACUUAUCUUAAGCAAGACGAGGAAGAGCAAGCCCGGCAGAUGAACUUGCCUUUUAUUGAAUCAAAUGCUAAAAAUACUGAAGGCAUGGUUGCUGGAACUCUUGCUGAAACGAGGGCAGCAACCUCACAUUGGAUGAAUUAUCUGGGUGGUGAAGGUGUAGAGGAAAUGCUGAGAGAUGCAUCUUUAGCUAGACUUACUUCAUUAGUCAAACAUCUUCAGAAUAAACUUGCCCUUGCAAAAAUGAAACUCAAAAAGGCUGAUAAAGCUUUAGCAAAGGUACAAGAACAUCUGGAACCAGCAGGGCCCCCAACUGAUUUGGAAACCAUAAAUGAUGAGGAAAGGUUCUUGUUUCGCAAGAUUGGUCUGAGUAUGAAACCCUACAUCCUCCUAGGGAGGAGAGGGGUCUAUGAUGGUACCAUACAAAACAUGCACUUACAUUGGAAAUAUCGUGAAGUGGUAAAGAUAAUUGUGCAAGGAAAAAGCUUUGCACAGGUCAAGCAUUUUGCAAUUUCUUUGGAGGCUGAGAGUGGUGGAGUAUUGGUAUCUGUAGAUCGAACAACCAAAGGCUAUGCAAUCAUUAUCUAUCGUGGAAAAAAUUAUUUACGUCCUCAUGUAAUGAGGCCCGCAAAUUUAUUGACAAAACGGCAGGCAUUAGCCAGGUCAAUUGAACUUCAAAGACGAGAGGCACUGAAGCAUCAUAUCUCAGACCUACAGGAGAGGAUUCAAUUGAUGAAGCUUGAACUAGAAGAAAUGGAAUCUGGCAAAAAGAUUGAUGUAGAGAAAACCCUGAGCUCAAUGAGUGACACUAAAGUUUCUGAAAGUGAUGUUGAAGAGGAGGGGGAAGAGGCAUAUCUUGAAGAAUAUGACAGUAGCAAUGAGGAUACCUAUUAUCAAAACUAAAGCAUGCUAGAGAGAAGACCAACUGAUUUUAGAUUAAAUGUUGUGCAUGUUAGCUGUUGGGAAAGAUCAAUCAUUCAGACUUGCCAAGCAAUGGUCAAGAUGAUUGCUGAUAGCGUUGCAUGUCAUGCUCCUAGAGGCGUACCUUACAUCAUUUAUCAUCUACUUGAGAUUAUUGAAAAAAAUUUUGUAAUUCCAAAUGCGAUGGGGAUGUUAUAACAAGUAACCAUCAGCUUCUCUGCUUCUGUCAGACGAAAGGGUGACUUCCACCAGCAUUAUUUGAGUUGUGAAUGCUAGGAUAAGUGUAAUAUGUCAAUGUAAAUAAAGUGAUCCUGCAAUGUUUAUGCUUUUUGAUCCUUCUUCA
rnacentral:misc_RNA from 1 species